rnacentral:rRNA from 1 species
UACAGAGGUCCCAAGCGUUGUUCGGAUUCAUUGGGCGUAAAGGGUGCGUAGGUGGCGCGGUAAGUCGGGUGUGAAAUUUCGGAGCUUAACUCCGAAACUGCAUUCGAUACUGCCGUGCUUGAGGACUGGAGAGGAGACUGGAAUUUACGGUGUAGCAGUGAAAUGCGUAGAGAUCGUAAGGAAGGCCAGUGGCGAAGGCGGGUCUCUGGACAGUUCCUGACACUGAGGCACGAAGGCCAGGGGAGCAAACGGG